AGGGUGUAAACGCUGCAGACUUGGUGUUGGGAACCCUUCGGGGUGCUCAGUGCCGGAGAGAAGUUGUUAAGUCUGCUACUUGGGGAGUACGUCCGCAAGGAUGAAACUUAAAGGAAUUGGCGGGGGAGCACCGCAACGGGAGGAGCGUGCGGUUUAAUUGGAUUCAACGCCGAAAAACUCACCAGCAGCGACUGUUACAUGAAGUCAGGUUGAUGACCUUACUAGAUUUUCAGAGAGGAGGUGCAUGGCGUCAGUGACU
rnacentral:rRNA from 1 species